rnacentral:misc_RNA from 1 species
GAUGAAGAACGUAGCGAAAUGCGAUAAGUAAUGUGAAUUGCAGAAUCCAGUGAAUCAUCGAAUCUUUGAACGCACAUUGCGCCCGCCAGCAUUCUGGCGGGCAUGCCUGUCCGAGCGUCAUUACAACCCUCAAGCUCAGCUUGGUGUUGGGCCCCGCCGCCCCGGCGGGCCCUAAAGUCAGUGGCGGUGCCGUCCGGCUCCGAGCGUAGUAAUUCUUCUCGCUCUGGAGGUCCGGUCGCGUGCUCGCCAGCAACCCCCAAUUUUUUCAGGUUGACCUCGGAUCAGGUAGGGAUACCCGCUGAACUUAAGCAUAUCAAUAAGCGGAGGA